rnacentral:rRNA from 1 species
UACGGGGGGGGCAAGCGUUGUUCGGAAUUACUGGGCGUAAAGGGCUCGUAGGCGGCCAACUAAGUCAUACGUGAAAUCCCUCGGCUUAACCGGGGAACUGCGUCUGAUACUGGAUGGCUUGAGUUCGGGAGAGGGAUGCGGAAUUCCAGGUGUAGCGGUGAAAUGCGUAGAUAUCUGGAGGAACACCGGUGGCGAAGGCGGCAUCCUGGGCCGACACUGACGCUGAGGAGCGAAAGCCAGGGGAGCAAACGGG